rnacentral:rRNA from 1 species
GACGAACGCUGGCGGCGUGCCUAAUACAUGCAAGUCGAGCGCAGGAAAUCGACGGAACCCUUCGGGGGGAAGUCGACGGAAUGAGCGGCGGACGGGUGAGUAACACGUAAAGAACCUGCCCUCAGGUCUGGGAUAACCACGAGAAAUCGGGGCUAAUACCGGAUGGGUCAUCGGACCGCAUGGUCCGAGGAUGAAAGGCGCUUCGGCGUCGCCUGGGGAUGGCUUUGCGGUGCAUUAGCUAGUUGGUGGGGUAAUGGCCCACCAAGGCGACGAUGCAUAGCCGGCCUGAGAGGGUGAUCGGCCACCCUGGGACUGAGACACGGCCCAGACUCCUACGGGAGGCAGCAGUAGGGAAUCUUCCACAAUGGACGAGAGUCUGAUGGAGCAACGCCGCGUGAACGAUGAAGGCCUUCGGGUCGUAAAGUUCUGUUGUAAGGGAAGAACAAGUGCCGCAGGCAAUGGCGGCACCUUGACGGUACCUUGCGAGAAAGCCACGGCUAACUACGUGCCAGCCGCCGCAGUAA